CUACCCACCACAUCUCACACACUCCCUCACUCUUUUGGGGUUUGGCCGGUCAUCUCUACUCCCUUCAUAUGCUUUCUUUUCUUUUCUUUUCACUUAAGCACACACACUCAUCUCCCUCACUCUCCCACUAGAUUCCACUCCAAACCACCAUCUCCACCAUCGUUUUCUGGCAAGAUCACCGGAAAAAUCCUUGUGAAUCUCUAAGCACCUUCACAUCUUUUUUUGGAGGUUUACUUGAUAUUAUUUAGGUUCUAGCUAAUCUCCUUGGAGCUUGGAGAAUUAGGCCUUUGUGGGUUGCAAGGUGAGACCGUUGCCUAUAGGGCCAAAAGACCACAUGCAAGAGGGGUACUAUGCGACACGUCAUUCCCUGCUGCCAUGAGGAGGAGGGGAGGAGAAAGAAAGGUAAAUCCUUGAGUGUGUGGGUGAGGCUAGGCAGGGCUAAGAGACCACAUGCAAAAGAGGUACUAUAUGAUGUGUUAUUCUCUGUUGCCCAUGGAGGGGAUAGGUAAAUCUUUGAGGGUGUGGGUGAGGCUUGGCAGGGCCAAUAGAUCACAUGCCAAAAGAGGUACAUAUCAUACUAGUGUGUUUGGGCUCUAACUUGUUUAUGGCGGUAUGAUGUCUGGGUGAUAUCUCUGUCUUUAUUGGUCCUUGUUGCAUCUUCGAUGAGGUUUUUUAGUUUUGAAAUGGUAUUGAACAUUUGUAUGGCUCAUAGUGAAUGGAAUGUAGUUUCAUAGUUAUUUUUGGAAGCUUGGUACUAAACUAUUCCUAUCGUUCUUGUCUUGUGGUUAAUGAAAUUGUUUUUGCAUAAACUAAAUGGAAAUUCCCAAAUUAUAACAUGUUUUGUAAAA